rnacentral:rRNA from 1 species
GAUGAACGCUGGCGGCGUGCCUAAUACAUGCAAGUCGAGCGAACAGACGAGGAGCUUGCUCCUCUGACGUUAGCGGCGGACGGGUGAGUAACACGUGGAUAACCUACCUAUAAGACUGGGAUAACUUCGGGAAACCGGAGCUAAUACCGGAUAAUAUAUUUAACCGCAUGGUUCAAUAGUGAAAGACGGUUUUGCUGUCACUUAUAGAUGGAUCCGCGCCGCAUUAGCUAGUUGGUAAGGUAACGGCUUACCAAGGCAACGAUGCGUAGCCGACCUGAGAGGGUGAUCGGCCACACUGGAACUGAGACACGGUCCAGACUCCUACGGGAGGCAGCAGUAGGGAAUCUUCCGCAAUGGGCGAAAGCCUGACGGAGCAACGCCGCGUGAGUGAGGAAGGUCUUCGGAUCGUAAAACUCUGUUAUUAGGGAAGAACAAAUGUGUAAGUAACUAUGCACGUCUUGACGGUACCUAAUCAGAAAGCCACGGCUAACUACGUG